rnacentral:rRNA from 1 species
GACGAACGCUGGCGGCGUGCUUAACACAUGCAAGUCGAACGGAAAGGCCCUGCUUUUGUGGGGUGCUCGAGUGGCGAACGGGUGAGUAACACGUGAGUAACCUGCCCUUGACUUUGGGAUAACUUCAGGAAACUGGGGCUAAUACCGGAUAGGAGCUCCUGCUGCAUGGUGGGGGUUGGAAAGUUUCGGCGGUUGGGGAUGGACUCGCGGCUUAUCAGCUUGUUGGUGGGGUAGUGGCUUACCAAGGCUUUGACGGAUAGCCGGCCUGAGAGGGUGGCCGGCCUCCUGGGGACUGAGGUACGGCCCAGACUCCUACGGGAGGCAGCAGUGGGGAAUAUUGCACAAUGGGCGGAAGCCUGGUGCAGCAACGCCGCGUGCGGGAUGACGGCCUUCGGGUUGUAAACCGCUUUCGCCUGUGACGAAGCGUGAGUGACGGUAACGGGUAAAGAAGCACCGGCUAACUACGUG